rnacentral:rRNA from 1 species
AUUGAACGCUGGCGGCAGGCUUAACACAUGCAAGUCGAGCGGGGUGAUGGUGCUUGCACUAUCACUUAGCGGCGGACGGGUGAGUAAUGCUUAGGAAUCUGCCUAUUAGUGGGGGACAACAUCUCGAAAGGGAUGCUAAUACCGCAUACGUCCUACGGGAGAAAGCAGGGGAUCACUUGUGACCUUGCGCUAAUAGAUGAGCCUAAGUCGGAUUAGCUAGUUGGUGGGGUAAAGGCCUACCAAGGCGACGAUCUGUAGCGGGUCUGAGAGGAUGAGCCACCACACUGGGACUGAGACACGGCCCAGCCUCCUACGGGAGGCAGCAGUGGGGAAUAUUGGACAAUGGGGGGAACCCUGAUCCAGCCAUGCCGCGUGUGUGAAGAAGGCCUUAUGGUUGUAAAGCACUUUAAGCGAGGAGGAGGCUCUUUUGGUUAAUACCCAAGAUGAGUGGACGUUACUCGCAGAAUAAGCACCGGCUAACUCUGUGCCAGCCGCCGCAGUAA